rnacentral:lncRNA from 1 species
GAAUCACAAGCUAAGAUAAAUGCUGCAUAGCUCUAAACUCCGGAAUAUCUAACAAUUGAAAAGUACAGAAGGCUAACUACUAAAGAAGGAAUAGAAAGGGACUCCUUGGUCUGCGGACGCGGCAGAUGUACCUCGGAGCCUCUAAGCAGUCACCUCCCUUAAGUAGGGUACGCCUGAUCAGCGGUAUCUGGAUCUGCACAUGAAAAAAAAUGUAGAAAGGGCAUGAGUACACUAUAACGGUAUUCAGUAAGUGCCAAGCCUAACCUCGAUCGGGUAGUGAUGAGGAAGGUCAGGGCCCUACUGAGAUUAAAUAAAAGUUAUAAUUAAAUAGUAUAGAACAAAUAGUUUAACAUGUGCACUAAUUAAAUUAACAUAGUAUAUAUAUAGCAUCAACAAUUACACAGUACAUGUAGAGACAAUUUAAGCACUGAAGGGAAAAUGCAGCUCAGUUCCAAUAAUACCAACCGGUGAUUUACCAGGAUACUGUCUUAAAGUCCCAAUUAUAACUGUCUAGUGGAUCUCCCGAGAUACCGUCCUGUAGUCCAUUAUAUAUAUGUUUGAAGAUUCUCCUAGGAUCCCGUCCCGUAGUCCAACUAUCAAUUCCUGGAGAUCUACCAGGAAUAUAACCCGUAGUCUCAAAUGUAAAUACCCAAUACAAACACACUCUCGUAGUUCCAUAUAACUGCACAUGGGGAUCUAUCAAAAAUCUAACAUGCAGUCCCAAUGUAAAGGUGCAGGGGGGAUCUAUCGGGAAUCUAACCCAUAAUCCCAAAGUAAACCGAGAAGGAAGAGCUACCGGAAUUACACAUCCAUAGUCCCAAUAUAAAUACACAGCAAUAGCAAGAAAAUAUUCAAAGAAGGGAAAUGUCAUAUUAAGGCAACUAAUAGUUCUAGCCUAGCAUGCUGCAUAGAGUUUAGGUAAACAGAUUGAACAAUUAAAGCAAUUGAAUCACUUAGAAAUGCUUUCCUAAGCUAACACUAGAUUAAAUAAUAUAAGUAAUAAAAGCAGGGGAAGGAACAAACUAAUAAGUGCUUAAAGAAAAAAACCGUAUUUCCAACAAUUUGCACAAGUAUGCACUCAUCACUCACGUACAAGGCAUUUCAAUUACCAAACAUAUCAAAUCCUAAGGGGAAGGUCCCCCACACAAGGUUAGACAAGCCACUUACCUCGAACCGGCUCAAAUGAACUUGAAACCACACUUUUUCAUGAAAAUCCGAAUUCAAAUGGCCCAAAUCAAUUCAAUUCAAUUGAAUAUUGUAAAUACACCACAAGUAACUAAUUCAACAAUUAAAGUCUAAGCUAAUAUGCGAAAUUAUGUAAAAUAACAUAAACGCGCCUCAGGCCCACGUCUCGGUUUUGGGUGAAAUUUACAUUUUCAGAAACCUCAUACUCUCACGAGUCAAUACAUGAUAAGAACAUUGAAAUCGGAGUCCAAAUGAUCCCUCAAUUCCUCAAUUCAUCAAUUAAAUGUCUCUUAAACUUAAGCCCUAAUUACCCAUUAUUCCCAAAUUUCUCACUAUUAAUUAGGUCUUUAAUCAUAUGAAAAUGUGUUAUGAAGUCAAGGACGUUACCUCCAAGCGAUUUCCCUUUUGUUUCCUCAAAAAUCCCUCUCAAAAGCUUCAAACUCGGAUAAAAAUGGUGGAAGAAUAACUAAAUUUCACAAAGGCAACUAUUUAUACUCUCUGUCCAGCGACUUUCGCAUUUGUGACCCUGGGACCGCAUCUGUAGUCUCGCUUUUGCUGAACAAGUGUCGCAUCUGCGACUUUCCUUUAAGUGACCAGCAACCGCAUCUGCGAAUGCCUUUUCGCAGAUGCGAAACCGCUUCUGCGGUCUAACUUCCGCAUCUGAGGUACCUGAAGGCAAGGCAAGAAUCCACUUUCGCGGUCCUCUGCACUACUUCUGCGGCUCUGCACCUGCGAAACCCAAAUUGCAGUUGUGGUUAUGAUAGGUACCAGCUGAACCAGCAAUCUCUUAACUUCAAAAUCCUUUUGUUAUCCAUCCAAAAUCAUCCCGAGGCUCCCAGGACCUCAACCAAAAGCACCAACAUCUCCUAAUACCUCAUUCAAACUUGUACCCAUACAUAAAACACCCAAAACAACAUCGGAACCAUGGAUUAACCAAGGAUUUAAGCCUAGGAAUUCCAAAAUUCUCAAAAAUACGCUUUCAAUAAAAAAACCCAACCAAACCACAUCCGAAUGACCUGAAAUUUUGCACACAUAUCCCAAAUGACACAAUAGAGCUAUUGAACUCUUGAAAUUUUGUUCUGGUCCUUGGAUCAAAAUCUCACAAUCGAAUCAGAAACUUCAAAAAUUCAACUUUUGGCACUUCAAGCCUAAAUUAGAUACGAACCUCCAAAACACAAUCCAAACACGCUCCUAACCCUGAAAUCACCCAACAAAGCUAACAGAACCAUCGGAUUUCCAUUCUGAGAUCGUCUUCACACUGUUUUGAUUACGGUCAACUUUCCAACACAUAAGCACUCAUUUAGGGACUAAGUGUCCCAAAACUCUUCGAAACUUAAAACCAAACAUCCCAGCAAAUAAAAAUAGCAGAAAUAGACUUAUGGAAAGCAGUUAAUAGGGGAUCGAGGCGUUUAUUCUUAAGAUGAACGGCCAGGUUUUCACAUCUGCUCACUAUCACCUUAUAGUGAUCGUAUAGGUUUUUCACUGAUAAGACUCUCUCAUUUCUUUUUUCUUUUUUUUUUUUUCUCUCUUUAUUUUCCCUUCUUUUUUUUCUUCUUUUUUUCUGUGAUAAUGCAUCAGGGAGGUUAUCCAAUGCCUUUGGCAUGGGGACUUCAAAAAUUCUCAAAAAAACAUUGAUCAGAAGUUCUUGAAAGGUAAAAAGGCAAAAUGAACCUUGAAUUGAAUUACAACUUUUGGAACAAAUUGUGAAAUAAAACAAACUUCUGCCCCAAUUUUGGAGUAUUGGAUUUUUUGUUCUGAUGGGACCGAACCUAGGGUAAGGUAGCCUAUGUAUCCUUUCGGAAUCAGGUCGGACGUAGUUCAAUGACUCUGAUGCUUUAUUGUUUGACUAUUUUUCUUUAUUUCUUUUUUUACAAGUACACAGGUUCUAAAAGGUGCAAAACGAAGAAGAAAAAUACAGCUCAAAUGGGUUAACAAAAUAAUGACACCUAUUUGGAAUAGUAAGCAAAUGAUAGCAUUCUUCAUCUCGAUACGAGAAAAUCAAUGUGUGAAAGUUCUACAGUGGCCAUAUAUCAUACAUAAUAUCUUUUGACCGGUAACACUUUCUUGAUGAUGUAGGGUCCUUGCCAGUUCGGUGCAAACAUUUCUUUGGCUUCAACCAGGUGCGGAAGGAUGCGUUUAAGAACUUGUUGGCCUACCUCAAAAUGCCUAGGGGGUGCACUUUAUUAAUGUAAGCACGUGUCGUUCUUUGCUGGUAUAACUAGCCAAAACACACUGCUAUUUGCCUUUUUUUAUCGAUCAACAUCAGUUGUUCUAAUCGAGUCUUGACCCACUUAGUGUCUUCAAUCUCUGAUUCCAUAAUAAUUCGGAGAGAGGGAAUUUAAACUUCAGCGGAUAUCACAACGUGAGUUCCACAUACAAGCAGAUACAAAGUCGCACCAUUGGAUGUGCGAACAGUCGUGCGGUAUCCCAAAAGAGCAAAAGGCAACUUUUCAUGCCAUUGCCUGGAACCUUGGAUCAUCUUCCUAUAAAUUAUUCUUGAUGUUCUUGUUCGCCGCUUCAAUGACUCCAUUGGCUUUUAGCCGGUAAGGGGUAGAAUGGCGAUGCAUGAUUUUAAAUUUUUCGCAUACCUCCUUCAUCAAAUGACUAUUUAGAUUGGCUGCAUUAUCAAUGAUAAUGGUCUUUGGGAUUCCAAAGCGAUAGAUGAUGCUGGAAUGAACAUCAGCCACUUGAAAGUGACAUCAUCCAGCCACUUGGUGAAGUAAUCAAUGAAUCUAUGCCUAUUUGAAGCCUUUGGCUCGAUUGGCCAAUAACAUCCAUUCCCCAAGCAACGAAAAGCUAAGGAGAGGACAUGGGAUGUAACUCUGAAGGAGGCGAGUGAAUCAAGUCACCAUGAAUCUAGUAUUGGUGACACUUGUGAAUAAAACUUAAGCAAUCUCACUCCAUAGUAAGCCAAUAUUAUCUUGCCCGCAGAAUAUUCUUCGCCAAAACAUAUCCAUUCAUGUGAGGUCCGCAUACCCCCGAAUGCACAUCGCUCAUGAUGCUCCACUUCUGUGUCAUCUAUGCAUCUCAACAAGUUUAAAUCUGGGGUUCUCUUGUACAGAAUUUCCCCAUUCAAGAAGAAACCACCGGCGAGCUUCCUUAUAGUUCUUUUUGAUCUCCUUUGGCAUGCUCUAGAUAUUCUCUUAUUUUCAGGAAUUGUUUUAUGUCCUGAUACUAUGGCUCACCAUCUGGUUCUGUCUCAAUUGUAUUGCAGUAAUCAUGUUGAUUCCAAACUUGAAUUUCUAGUGGAUCAAUAUGAGUAUUGCCUAGAUAAGGGAGCAUCGGGGCUAAAGUUGCCAAAGUAUCAGCUAGCUCGUUGUGAAACCUGGGAAUGUACCUGAACUCGAUAGAUUUGAAUCUUUUGCUCAAGUCUUGCAUAUAUUGUCUGUAUUAAAUAAGAUUGAUGUCUCGAGUCUCCUAUUCGCCCCGAGCUUGUCGGAUAAGCAAGUCGGAAUCUACCAUAACCAAUAGUUCAUGCACAUCCAGAUCGAUAGCCAUUUUCAGACCCAUGAUACAAGCUUCAUAUUCUACCAUAUUAUUGGUACAUAAGAACCAAAGUCGGGUCGUUGCAUGGUAAUGAUAUCCAAUAGGUGAGAUAAAGAUUGCCCCGAUACCAACUCCUUUAAUAUUGACAGCCCCAUCAAAAUACAUUUCCAUACAGGGUUAUCGUCUGGAACUACUUCCUCUAUUGAGUUGACCUCUUCAUCUGGGAAGUAUGUGCUAAGUGGCAUGUACUCAUCAUCAACAAUAUUCUAUGCCAAAUGAUCUGCCAAAGCCUAUGAUUUCAUUGUCGUGCGAGUGACAUAAACAAUGUCAAACUCUGUGAGGAGGAUUUGCCAUUUUACGAGCCUGUCAGUGGGUAUUGGCUUUUGGAAGAUGUACUUUAAAGGAUCCAUUCUAGAUAUGAGGUAAGUAGUGUAGGCCAAAAGAUAAUGUCUCAGCUUCUGAGUGACCCAAGUCAAGGCACAACAUGUCCUUUCUAAAUGGGUGAACUUCUUGCUCAAAUAAUAGAUUGCAUGUUCCUUUAUACAUGUUGCAUCAUGUUGCCCCAAUGCAUCCAAAGGAAUUAUCCAUCACCGAUAGAUAUAAAAACAAAGGCCUACUAGGUUUAAGUGGGACCAGUACAAGGUGUUUUGACAGAUAAUCUUUGAUUAUGUCAAGAGCUAUUUGGCAAUCGUCCGUCUACCUGAUUGCGACAUCCUUUUUCAGCAACUUAAACAUGGGCUCACACGUGGUUGUGAGCUGAUCAAUGAACCUACUGAUGUAGUUCAUCCUCCCGAGUAAACUCAUGACUUCCUUUUUGUUCUUUGGGGUGGAAGAUCAGGAAUGGACUUUAUCUUGGAUGGAUCCAAUUCGAAGCCUCUCAGACUGACUAUAAAACCGAGGAGUUUUCUAGAUGGAACCCCAAAUGUACAGUUGGCUGGAUUAGGCUUAAGUUCAUACGUUUGAAUCCAUUCGAAAAACUUUUUCAAAUUGCACACAGGAUCAGCUUGUGUCUUUAAUUUUAUGAUGACAUCAUCGACAUAUACUUCAAUCUUUUUGUGCAUCAUAUUGUGAAAAAUGGUGGUCAUGGAUCUUAUGUAAGUUGCCCUGCAUUCUUUAAAAUUGAAUGGCAUGACCCUCUAACAAUAAGUACCCCAUUGAGUGGUAAAAGCAGUAUUUUUUGCAUCAUCUUCAUCCAUUAGAAUUUGGUGGUACCUAGCGUAGCAAUACACGAACAAUUGUAUCUCAUGCUUUGAAUAAUUAUCUACAAGAAUGUAGAUAUUUGACAAAGAAAAAUUAUGCUUUGGACUUGCUUUGUUCAGGUCCCUGUAGUUAACACAAACUCGGGUCUUUCUAUCCUUCUUCAGCACAAGCACAACAUUCGCCACCCAGGUGGUGUAUCGGACAACUCUAACAACAUUAGCUCAAUUGCUUCAUUAUAUUGUCUUUAAUUUGUUACUCACGCCUGUUUUAAAUUUUUGUUGCUUUUGUUAGACUGGUGAAAAACUAGGAUACGUAGGAAGCUUAUAAACCACUAGAUUAGUACUUAAACCCGUCAUAUCAUCGUAAGACCAAGAAAACACAUCUAUGUAUUCAAACAAAAGUUGAAUCAAGGAAUUUCUGUUUUUUUGUUCAAUGUGAGUGCUUAUCUUUGUUUCUCUAACUUCUUCAUGACUUCCGAUAUUAAUUGGCGCCGUUUUAUUGAGGCUGGGCUUAGGAUUGUUUUCAAAUUGUUCCAAUUGUCUUUUUUCUUUUCUCGACAACAUCAUCUUCAUCAUAUUCAACCUUUUGAUGUAUUAUUUCGAUAUUAGAAAAAUUUUUAUGAUCUAGGUGUGAAUUAUGCAUGCAUGUCAUGUUAUUAAAGCCGGCAUUAACAAAACUAAAAUGGAAAUAAAAUAAUAGGAAUUAGGAAAAGGAAAAGAUACAAAACUUAAUAGGAAAUUGAACUGAAUUUCAUUGAAUUUGAAAGGAUAUAAGGUUAACAUCAAAACAAAACAAUCAUACUGAGAUGUUUGGAUUACAACCCUGAAAGAAACCCAAAAUACAAAAAAAAGCUACAAAAGCAACCUACUAAGACUCCUUCCUUGUGGGGAAAGGAUUUUUGCUUCCCAGUUAUUGAGCAUGAUGUCUGGGUCAAUUAGUUUCAUAUCGGCACGACUAGUGCAUUCACCAGCCUGGAUCAUUUUCACUUUAGAAAACAUCUGGCUGGGGCCAUGGCAAAUUUCAUCAAUGUUUGCAUACGUCGAGGAAUUUUGACCCUUUCAGAGUCGUGGCCUAACGAACGUGUAGAAAAUGUGAGGGAUAGGCUGUUGUAAGACCCUUCCAAGCUUUUUGCGGUGUUUGGAUUUGUUUUCAUCUUCUUGUGUUGGCCUGAAGCCUAAGCCAAAAGUACCCUGGUUACCGAACGAAAAAUUAGGCUCCGAAAUUCCUUGCAACAAUGUCCCUAAGCCUUUUCCUGGCUCAUAACAUUGUCUCAUCAUAACUAUAACCAUCAUUACAGAUGUGGCAGAAAGAUGAGGAUACAGAAUGUGCUUUCCUUCCUCGACAUGGUCCACAAUAAAAGACUAAUAUACAAUGGACUCAGACCCUUCCUUGGACUCAAUACAUGGGAACAGAUCUUUAUAAUGGAAGACUCGUCUUCCCUGUGAACAAUAAUUUCUUGCCUGUCAUGUUUGAAUUUGAGCAUCUGAUGCAAGGUUGAUGGCACAACUCAGGCUGUAUGGAUCCAUGUCCUUCCAAGAAGAAAGUUAUAUGAAGUGGCCAUGUACACUACAUUGAAGACAAUCUCAAAGUCAACCAGUCUAAUUGUCAUGGUGAGGUUGAUCUCCCAAAUGGUAUCUCUUGCUGAGCCAUCAAAAGCCUAGAUGCAAACAUUGCUGGGUCGGAUUCUAUCUGUAUUGAUCUUCAUGCUUUGCAAGGUAGAGAAAGGGCAUAUAUCUGCACUUGAGCCUCCAUCAACCAUGACUCGCUUUACAUCAUGCCCCUCAUAUUUAACCAUCAAGUUCAAAGCUCUAUUGUGCUCGGCUCUCUCCUCGGGAAGUUCAUCAUCAGUAAAGGAGAUUAUGUUCACCUUAAAAAAGGAGAUUACCUCCCUGCUUCUACCUUGUGAUGGGGUGGCCUCCAAGUACAUAUAACCUUGGGCUUGGAACACGGGAGUGAACUUCCAACCUUGAGAUUUUUGGGAUAAAUAAAGUUGCCUUCUUUGAGCUCUAGGCGCCUUUCACAAUCAAUGGCACAUCUCGGUUGGGACUUAAUUCCAGAACUGUUCCUUCUUGAAUUGCACCUACUGUCAUUUCCACUCGAUCGACCGGCUUAUAAUUUUGAUCUCGGCAAAUCAUUCCCAUAAAAUGAACAUCAAUGUGUGCUCGCAAUGGGUUGUUUAUUAUAUUAGGAUGUUCCUCGCCAUUCAUCACUACAAUCAAUUUUAUAGAAAUGAGCCUCUCUAUGGCUCUUUUCAGAGUCCAACAAUCAUCAGUGCUAUGCCCCGGGCACCCGAAUGAUAUUCACAUCUACAAUUUGCUAGAAAUCCAUAUGAAUCAGGAUGCAUAUGGUGGGGAGCGAUAAGUCCAAUCACGCCCAUUUGCUUCAGUUUAUGGAAUAGACUAAAGUAUGAUUCGUCCAAUGAAGUGAAUUUUUCUGCUGGCCUCUGCUCUCGACCAUAAUCUUGCUAGGGAGGAGCAUUAUAGGGUGCCCAAAAAUUUUGCUGCUGAGGUCGGGGGGCCCUUGGAGCUGGUGCGCAUACCUGCUAAUUGGGAGGCCGAGUAUAUGAUUGAACAUUGAACACUUUAUAUUAUGGUCGGCCCACAGAGUAUUGAGGAAUUGGCGGGGGAUAGUAAUGAACUGAACUUUCACAUAAGGGUGCGAUGCCCUUCUUUGAACUUCCUUAGAUCCUGAAACCAUCUUGGACCCUUCAUUUCUCUUCUUUUUAUUUGCCAAACCUCCCAAUCCAUUUUUGGAUAGCUUGGGUGGUGGCCUUGAGAGCAGCUUGACUUACAAUUCUACCAUUCUCGAGGCUAUUUUCGACCAUCUCCCCUAUUUUGAUUUCUUCUGCAAAAGGUCUACCCAUCGCGGACAUCAUGUUCUAAAAGUAAUCAUGCUCUUGAGCAUCCAGAAAAACAGUAAUCAACUCGUGGUUAUCCAUGGGUGGCUUAACUUUAGUGGCUUGCUCCCUCCAGUUGAAGUCAUACUCCCUAAAACUUUCGGUCAGUUUUUUUUCAUAUUAGGCAAGGAAUUAUGAUCCGGUGCAAUAUUAAUGUUGUACUGAAAUUGUUUGAUGAAGGCCUGGGCCAUGUCAUCCCAACCAUGCCAGUGAGAGAUAUCUUGGUCAGUGAACCAUUUGGAAGCUACCCCCACAAGGCUUUCCCCAAAGUAAGCCAACCCUAGAGGCAAAUGGAUGUGAGGGAACAUGCAUAGAUCACUGAAUGAUAUACUUUUUUGACCACGUAGUCCCUGUAUAUUCUUUAUAUUCUGUUAUUGACUUUUCAUUUUCUUAGCCAUCUCAUCUGGCUCAACCGUCAUGGUAGGCUUUCCAUUUCCAUUAGUGACUCGUAUUAUGGAGUCUGAUUGUAUGGAGCCGAGACUCCGAAAGCUAUAUUUGUAGAAUAGUAUUGGCCAUCAUAAGCAUGAGAUGGUGGCUCAUUGUUUGGCCUCAUCACAGGAGGUGGUGACCGAACUGUAUAUACCAGUGUGCCAGACACGACGAGAGGGGUGUUCCUGACUGGUGUGACUGGAGGUCGCAUGUUAGAGGUAUCGGGGGUAGCAAAGACACUGUUGUUUGGCACAUAACCUUGUGGUAGAAUGUGAUCGCUUGUUGCCUGGAGCGGUGUUUGAGUAGCCUUGGAUAUGGUGGAAGUUCCCUCCGAGGGACCCUAGUGUGGAGGUUGACCGAAAACCCAAGCUUGAUAUACACCUGACAGUUGCUGUCUUAAUUUUCUCAUUUCCUCCGACUCUUGCUCAACUGACUAACUCUGCGGAUUAUCACUGACCAACUCGAUUUUAUCACUAUUAUCCAUUACCAUUUCUACCUUAGAUCUUGUGAAGUAAUGAUGCGUCAAAAGUUUCACCACAAACCAACCACCUUAAGCUUACUAUAUAAGAGGCAAAUAAAUAUGUUAGGGUUAAACAUUUUACAGAUAGGAAUCACACUUAGAUAUGCUAUGCUCCUAAAAUAUCACCAUCUCUAACAUGAUUUUUGUAAGGCUUCAUGUUUCAUUUCGGCUUAUCAGCUUGUUGACUAUUGAACUGUUAUCUCUCAUUUUUUCUUCCUUUUUCUGUUUUUUUGUUUUGUUUUUUCUUUCACUCGCCUUGUUUUGAUCCCUCACUUUCGAGUCAUUUGAAAAAUAUUUGAUAGAACCUUUUGUGGGUUGACUACGUAUCAUGUUGCCGUAUGAAUUAGAUCAUUACGUAGUUCAUGUACAUGACCCUUUUUUUUGACAAAACAAACAUCUUUUUGGUUCAUUUUUGAAUUUUUCCAAACAAAAUCUUUUUCAUUGAUUUUCAAUAUAUAUAAUAAAUUUUUUUUGAUACAAGACUCAAAAACACAAGAGUUACAUAAAGAUAAACAAGACUAGACUUGACUUAAACAGAUUUUUUAGGAUAAAAGGCAAAACUACAAGACUCAAAACACCAAAAGACUCUUAUAGACACAAAAACAACAAAAGGAUAAUGAAAAAAAGACUGAUAAAUAAAAAAAGACUUUGAUCUCUGCAGUAGAAUCCACCAACAUCAAUGUAAUCAAGGUGCUUGUUCCUACGACUGACCCCCAACAUUGCGGUAUAUCCUUUCCAAGUCUUCAGAUAUAUGGUGAGCAACGUUCGAUGAUACUUCUGCAAACCGCUCGGGCAUCAUUCCCUGACAACUCUUGCAUGCUUUUGAGGUAUAUGUGGCUACCUCAAGGAUCUUUCAAUUAAUGUAUUCUUAAGCCACAUGCAAAUCUUGAUUUUGCUGACUACAUAUCUCAGCUAGAUCCAGCGCAUAGCGGUCAUGGUCCAAGGCCAUAUCUUUCUAGCACUGAACUUCAAGUGACUCCGUUUCUAACUGAUUGAUCACCUUUCGGUAGUGGUGUUUUUAUAUUUCAAACUCCACGAUUUGGCUCUCCUUACUUGACUCAACUCCCCCUAUACCUUGGAUUAAUGGAGCAAAACCUCUACACUCAUGAUCGCACACCACCUUGAACUGCUUCUCUUUCUUCUUGUUGUUGAGCGGUAGUGAUCAUUUUUUCUGCCUAAUUUAAGCUUUGAGUGCUCACCUAUCUUGUUCCUACUGAGCCUUUUCCCGCUCAAAAUCAACCUAUUAUAUGUUAAUGGCUGUCUCCGAAAUGCCCUUAUCCUCUUGUAAAAUGUUAAUAUGAGAUUGGAACUCUUGUGCCACUUCCCCUCUGGUUUCUCUAACUCUAGCCUCGAUCUCCUCGUCCCAAUCAACUGCGUGCCUUAUGGAUCUUUCUGGCCUUUGCUCGGGGAUAGCCUAGUUGUGAAAUCACUCAAGGUAUGGAUCUUUGUGCAUAUGACUCUCUUGGAGGUUCCCCUCCCCUGAAUUCCCACACGAAGAAACGCAUGUCCUCAAUCGAGGGCCUUUUUUGCGCUCUCCCUAGCUGGCGCAUGAGUCGUAAGGGCGCAUAGGGUUGGAAACCUCUAAAACCCAUGAGUAUGGAGAACGGGAGAUACGUCGACAUAUGUAUGACACUAGCAAAAAGGAACCAAUAAUAGUUCCAAGUGAUUCUAUCAGCACUUAAUGAACCAAGAAAUUUUCGCCAGGGCCUCACUCCCUCUGGAAGAUUACAACUUAUGGCCCUGUCUGGGUGACAUCCAUUGUAAUUUAACCAAUUUUUAUUGAAAUUUAUUACUAUUAGAUGAUGAUAAAGGUGAUAUAUGAACUACAUCUACAACAGAAUGUUGCAUCCCUCGAAAUAAUCUUCACCCUCUUGGCAUCGAGUCAAAGCUUGAAAAAUAUCUCCCAAAAUCAUGGGAAGAAUGGUAUGAUCCUCGCUACUUUGCAAAUACGAGACUACCGCAACUAAUCGAACUCUGAUGCGCCUACCACGUUCUGGCAAGACCAUGAUCCCUAGAAAUGAUAUCAUGAACGCAUAGAUUUUCAACUCCCUCCAAGCGUCGUAACUCAACUGGUUGACAAAUUCUAUGCCCAAGAAGUUCUCAGAUCAUUUCUCGUCCCCAAAUCUGUCAUAAAGAUAUUUCAACAGAAACCAACCUUCAUUUAAGCAAACCAUUGGAAUUCAACGGAGGCAUAACUUCUUUAAAAAGUUGUUCACACCAACUUUUCUUGGAGUGGCAGGCCUUUUCCCACGAAGGUCUCUUCCUAAUCCGGUGAACCCACCUAAUUCCUCCAAUGUAGGCAUAUUUUCACAAUCUUUGAGCCUGAAGACAUUAUUGGCGGGAUCCCAAAAACCCACUAGAGCCUCGAUUAAAUUCUGUUAGGCUUAAUUCCCAUGAUGUUUGUGAGGAACUUGAGGUGCUUAAAUACUUGAUUAUGUUCCCAUGUAGCAAAACUAGCCCACUAAUUACAGAGAGUACUCUGGGUCUUAUCUCCGGUCAAGAACAUAGGAGGUGUCUCGUUCCUUACCCUUUUCUAACAGUUUCUUUGUAGAGAACUCAUGGUGAACCUAAGAGUAAGAUAGAAGGGUCAGGACUUACCUAAACUAUAUGCAAAUUCUUAUCAUUCGUUUUUCUUUUCUUUUUUUGUUGCCAAUUUAGGAAUCGAUCUAUUUUUAUUUAUUUAUUUAUUUAUUAUUAUUAUUAUUAUUAUUAUAUAUCAUUUUUUAAUAUUACCGGACUCAAAAGUUGAGAUGAUAAAAGCAUGAAGAAUGGCUAUUACUACGAAAAUGAUCAUAGGAAUAAAAUGAUAAAAAUAGACAAAAUAAAAAAAUAAUAAAAAACAUAUAUUACUAAAAAAGGCCCUUCGGCACCCCCCGGGAGGGGCUCAAAAGUUGUCUCAGCAAAUAUAACCAGACAAAACUAGAUAAAAUGACCAUUUUUGUGAAAACUGUUGUUCAGUACUUCUGAAAAGAUUUAAAGUUGUCUCGACAAAAAAAAGGCCAGGCAUAAGGGGGAAUUGGUAAAAGGUAAAUGAAGAUGAAUAAAGUAGCACUUUUUAAAAAAAAACUGUCCCUUCAAUACUGCAAAGGAAGAUUUUAAGGUUGUCUUGGCGAAACAGCUGGAAUACAUGGGCAAAGCAGUAAAAAGGUGACCAAAAUAGAUUUUUUUUUGCUUUUUUUUCAAAAAAAUUAUGCACAUGCAGAAUUUUAUGCUCCUUUUUUGAAAAGUAUGAGCUGAACUCGAUGGAGAUUGCCUACGUAUCUCACAUCCAGUGAGAAACAAACCCGUGUAGUUCGAUAAAAUUAGAUACUUUCCCCAUUUGUUCCUUUUUAAUGAAAAUUAAUCUUUACAACCCACACCAGACUACUACAAAAUCUUUUUUUAAAAGGUUUAUUUGCACUAAGCUAGGAGAAUUAUUCCUUUUUUUUUCAUUUUUUUUCAUUUUUAAUAAUUACACUAAUUCUUUUUUAAAGUCGGUCGAAAAUGUAAGUAAGCCUUCCAAGUAAUGUAUCAAGUAGCACAUAAGUGAACAUGAUGGUCUCAAAGAGGAUAUCUGUUUAUACAGACUCGGCCACUGUGCCGAGUUUCGCUAAGUCAAAUGCACGUAAAGCGAACCUACUAGGGAUAUCCGGAACGAGGUUUUUUCUUCUAGGUUUAAAUUCUGGCGGAGAAGGUAUCUAGACUGGCUUACUCGAGCGGACAACUCGAGCCGAGGAGGGUCGGUGUACCUGUAGCAUUGCAUUCCGGCUUAACUGGUAGUACUCCCUGCCUAAAGUAUAUGUGACUAAAAUUCUUCACCGGGUGACAAGCACCUCGGCUAUCUAAAAAAAAAGGCUAUGUCAAGCAAAUGCCCAAUUUAAUUUCAAGAAGACUCAAAGGGGGUGCGCUAGAAAAUAGUGUAUAUGUACAGUUCAACAAUAUCAAAACGGUAAGAAUCGAACAAGUAGCACAUUGCACAAAUAAAUCAUAAUAUAUAUGAAAUUAAUAAAGCCAAAUAAAAAGUUAACAUGUACAAGCUCGAAUUCUAGUUAUUCUCCAGCGGAGUCGCCAAAGCUAUCAAACCCCUUUUCUACCCCCACAAAAAAAAAUAGUUACGGAUUGUUGUCUUGAUUUGUGGGUUAAAGAGUUUUUCCAAUUAAAGUGACAAAUUUGAGUAGAGAUUAUUUUAUUUACAGAGUCGCCACUUGGAAUAGAUUUGGGUAUUCCAAGUCACCUUUUAUUUUGGUCCAUGUUUUGGGCCAAUUGUGCUUUAAAACCAACAAAAUCAAUCCAUAUAAACCCCAUCACUCAUUAUUUAAGAACUCUAAUUCUAAGAUCUACAAACACACAAAACAAAUCUAAAAAAAGGUAUAAUGUAGGAGAAAAGAAAAAAGUAAAAAUUAGGUAUUUACACCAUAUGACUUGGCACCACUUGGAAUUGAUAUUUUUGGUAUUCCAAGUCACCAUUCAUUUUAAUCCCUAUUCAAAGGAAGGUUUGACUAUUUUUUUAUCGGUCCGCGAAAAUAAAGUUCGGGUAAGGAAUUCUGUUGACCGAGAGCAAGUCAUUCUCCGAGUCCCGUGGUUCUAGCACGAUCGCUUUAUUGACUUAAAUUUGGCUUAAAUUAAUUUGGACAAACUGUAAUUUAUAUGAUUUUCAUAUUUUACCUAUCCGCUUUUAAUCUCUUGAUUGUUAGAAUUAUUAAAAAAUAUUUUGGUAAUAAGAUGUUAUAAUCACACUAUGCAGGCGAAUGCGUGAUCAAAACGAAAUUUAUUGAUUUAGUCAUAACAUCGCUAAGCGAAUCCAUAGACUUGACAAAGAAUUAUUAACACGUUAUUACAUUUAAGAGAAAGAAUUUUUUUUGUGAAAUUCAUUAAAUGUCAACUACCAUGUUAAUGCAAGCGAAUCCACGAUUAUAGCAAGGGAUUAAUUAAGAAUUAAUUAGUCUAUUGAGAUUAUUGAACUAAUUUAAUAAAGGUUAAAUAUCACGCUACACAAGUGAGUUCAUGAAUAAAAAGGGCUAAAGCGCAUCUACUACUUGCCCAACAUUUAAACUAAUUAUCAAAAAGACUAAGUUAUGAAGUUAUUUAAUUAUAAAAAAAAAAUUGAUUAUUAAUUGGCGAAAGAAACUAUGUACAUGAAAGUUAGGCCGUAGCUUGUGGUAAAUUUGGGCCAACUAGUGAACUAGAUUAUUAUUGUAUUAGCGGGCCAAAAUUCAUUAAAAAAAAGAAAAGAAAAUGUGGACUAUCAACUUUACUACACAAUUCUUUGGGUCCGGUAGAUUCUUCAAUUAUUCUCGUACCUAUACAGCCCAUUAACAAUUACAUAAUCUUUUACCAAAUCCUUCAAGCACAAACACGUCCAGUUAGAAAUUCAUGCCCAUUUCCUUACUUAACUCCACCAUUCUAAUAAUAUUUUAUUGUUUUGAUAAGUUAACAAGGAUUAAAGGGAAAAACUUCUCUAUUGUGGCAUUAUAAGAAAUGGAGGAGAUAAACAAAAAUUAAACUUAUCAAUUACUACCAAAGCAUAUGACAAACUAAAGAAAGUUCAUGGCCUCCACAUUGUAAUCCAAUAUAGCAAUGGAAGAACAUAAAAUAAAAACAACAACAAAUAAUGUAACUAACAUAGCAAAAGUUUUUUUUUAAAACAAAAGAUGCAUCCACAAUUUUAGUUGCAUCCGAAAAUCAGUUCUUUUAUUACUAUACGCAAUUCUCUACUUGCACAUGAACAUGGAUAACAACAAAAGGAUAAUCUUACUCUCCAUAUGCACGCGUCAUUGAAACACUCAUUUCUUCACUAAAUCACAACAAUCAUGCUCAAAUAAUAGAGGCCGGUUAGCACCUUCAACACUCGACAUCGAAAAUCUGCAUUACAAUAAAUUUAAAAGUUACAUGAAUAGCAGAAAAUCAAAAUACAACAAAGAUGGAACUCCGGAUGUUUAGUUGUAGAUUUUUCUCAAAGUUUUGUCUUUUUAUUAGAGUGUUAAGGAUGUUCAAGUUCUCUUUUUUUUUCUUCUUGUGUCUCCAGGAUGUUCAAAAACUAUCCCCCUUAAUUGAAAGAAAGAUCUCCUCUUUAUAUUAUAGGAGAUGAGGGACAGGAUUUCAUUAUGAAAAUCUGUUCUUUAGACAUAAUCUUUACCAAAAAUUUGUCUAAACUAUUCAAAGGAUAGAUUUUUGGUUAAAAAUCUGUCUAAGACACAACGUUUUUACCAAACAAUGACAUGCAUUUUGGAAAUUAGUACUCAAAAAGUCUUUGAACAGUAGAAAGUGAUCAAAUAUGUACCCUAUACUCAAGUAUUCAACCUUUGUUUUCAACACAUGACUAAAAUAUAGCUUAUAUACUCAAACUCAAACCAACUAUAAACUAGCAAAACAGAAACAAGACUUAAAAUGUAAUUGAACUAAAUAUUCAAAAAAACUAAAAUAAAGCCAAUCGAUUUAUGGGAACUAAACAGUAGAUAAUUGUAAUCAGGAAACACUACCUAAAAUACAACUUAAAUGAAUAUUGAUAAGCUAUCUAACAACGACUAUUAUUAACUUAAACAAUGACUAAUUAAACGACGAUUCAACGACAUUAAGAUCAAUUUGGUCGAUGAAAAAUUAAUAAACAACUAGGCUAAAUAUAAUCAUCAAUCACACUAUUGAUCAAAACGAACAAAACAAAAAGAAAAAAUUCAGAAACUAAAAGAAAAAUAAAAAGAGUUAGGGGUUGUACAAAACGAAACAAGCCGACUCUCCUCAAAUCUCAAGGGCAAUGUAAACCGCAACAAAUUAACCGCUCGAGCACUGGGAAAUACAACUUUCAGCAAAUCAUGCCAAAGAGAAAAUAGUGUUGGGAGGGGGUUAUAUUACACACAAAAGAAGAGUUUCAGGGGUCGUUUGGGUGGUGGAGCAGCGGUGGUUGGAUGUCGGCAGUGAGGGUGGUGACAGAACAGAUUUUGGGGGUUAAAUUAAAGGGAAAGUGUAGAUCUCCUAGAGAUAUACACGUAUAUAUGAGGCUUGUGAGGUGUGGAUAAUUGGUAUGUCACUAAUUUGAGGAAAAAAAGUAAAAAUAGGGGGGCUAGGGAUUCAGAUUUGGCUAGAUUUGUGGAAUUUGAUAAGGAUUUUGGAGAUUUGGGAUUUGGACAUGGAAAGAAGAGGAGGAGACAAAGAAAUGGUGAAAAAAUAGGGUCGAUUGGAGGCCGUUUGCCGGCAGUGGAGAUUUCCGGCCGACGGAAUAGGGGCGGCGGGUGACGGGUGGUUCUUGUGAGAGAGGAGAGAGUAAAUAGAGGAGUGAAAUAGAUAAUAGGGAAAAAUGAGGUAAAAUUUUAGCUUCUUUAGAG